UACAUAGGGGGCAAGCGUUGUCCGGAAUUAUUGGGCGUAAAGAGCUUGUAGGCGGUUUGUCGCGUCUGCUGUGAAAUUUCGGGGCUCAACCCCGAACUUGCAGUGGGUACGGGCAGACUAGAGUGUGGUAGGGGAGACUGGAAUUCCUGGUGUAGCGGUGAAAUGCGCAGAUAUCAGGAGGAACACCGAUGGCGAAGGCAGGUCUCUGGGCCAUAACUGACGCUGAGAAGCGAAAGCAUGGGGAGCGAACAGG
rnacentral:rRNA from 1 species